AUAUUUUCAAGCUGCCAAGGGGGCAGUUCUAGGAACAAGAUCUCAUUUUCCUGAAAAUCUAGAAAUUGCCCUUCUGAUAUGUCUAUUGAAAUCACUCUAGGGCUACACUUUUGGAGACAAGAAAAGAAAGAUGCCACAUUUUAAAUCAAAACAUCCUGGGAGUGCCUAGAAGAGCUAGAAGAGUAUAAGGAAGCCUGUGGGCUGCUUUCAAAGAUGAGAAAGACAAUAGCAUAAAAGAGGCCAUUCAUCCUACUUGAGCUUUAAUCAAGAAACAGAAUGAAAGGAAAUAAAACCUGGGCGGUGGAACAACAAAAGACCAUCAUUACCAUUACCGAGGAAUCUCAAACACUAUGGCAAGAUGAAAACAACCUUCCUGCUAAAGCUGUUAACUGUUAUAGAAAAUCCCUACUUCCUAACAAUGAGCUGCCAGAACGACAAUUUCUGCCACAGUGUGCUUAAAAUUUAUACAAAGUCCCAUAGGAGAAGGAGAAACAAACAAAAAGUCUAAUCGUAAUUGAAUGCGAGAAUGAAGAGAAUAUAUGAGCACACAAUCAAAGGUUUGUUUGCAUUUUAUCCUGACCCCCUACCCCAGUCCCAUGUGAUCAGAAGUCACCAAAUGCAAGGAAUCAAAGACUGGAUAAGUCUUAAUAUGAAGACAAUUCAAGUUAAGCCCUCCCAGUGUGCAAAAAAAACAUGCUAAGCACUAGGGAUACAAAUAUGGGUCAGUAGGGAAUGCCUGCCCAGGAAGAAUUUACAUUGAAACAAGAGAGGCAUCAUGCAAACAACUUCCUUGAACAUAUGAAUAUAUACAAUGUAAGUAAAAGGUAAUUGCUGAGGUAGGGUAAUGGCAGAGGGGAGGUAGAGAAAGUCCUCUCAGAGAAGGUAGAAUUUGGGCUGAAUCUUGAAGGAUAUCAUGAAAGCCAAGAGGCAAGGAUCAGGAAAGAGACAAUUUUAGGAAUAUAGGGCAGGCAAUGGAACAGCAUGGAGGUUGGAGUGGGGUAGCAGCAAGAAGGCCAGUGCUGCUGGAUUAUUGAGUACAUAGGUAUUCCGCUUAAGAAGACUGGAAAGCUAGUAAAGGUAAGGUUGUAAAGACCUUUGAAAGCCAAACAUAGGAUUCUAUAUUUGAUUUUAGAUGGCGUAAAAAGCAACUUGAGAAUAUGAGGGGGGAUAUACAGGCAACAACAACUGAGGGGGGGGGAAACGUAAAAAUAUUAGAGAUGCAUCAUCUCAAACAAAUUAAUGUCUUCUCACAGCAUUAAAAAAUGCAAAGUAAUAAUCUCUAAAGAUGAUCAGGCCUUGUUCAACGCUUACUAGGUGUCAGUUAGUAUGCUAAAUGCUAGGAAUACAAAUUUACGAAGAAAAAUAUCAGGUCCUUUGGAAGCUUGAAAUCUAAUGAUACAAUGAAUAAAACAAAAAAAAGUGAGGGAAACGUACA
rnacentral:lncRNA from 1 species